UACGUAGGUGGCGAGCGUUGUCCGGAUUUACUGGGCGUAAAGGGAGCGUAGGCGGACUUUUAAGUGAGAUGUGAAAUACUCGGGCUCAACUUGAGUGCUGCAUUUCAAACUGGAAGUCUAGAGUGCAGGAGAGGAGAGUGGAAUUCCUAGUAUAGCGGUGAAAUGCGUAGAGAUUAGGAAGAACACCAGUGGCGAAGGCGAUUCUCUGGACUGUAACUGACGCUGAGGCUCGAAAGCGUGGGGAGCAAACAGG
rnacentral:rRNA from 1 species